ACCAGGGGAGGGGCAGAGAGAGAGGGAGACACAGAAUCUGAAACGGGCUCCAGGCUCUGAGCUGUCAGCACAGAGUCCGACGUGGGGCUCGAACUCGUGGACUGUGAGAUCAUGACCUGAGCCGAAGUCGGCUGCUUAACCGACUGAGCCACCCAGGCGCCCCUUGAAAAACUUUUUAAUGUUUACUUUUGAGAGAGACAGAGUGUGAGUGGGGGGAGGGGCAGAGAGAGUCAGAGACAGACACAGAAUCUGAAGUAGGCUCCAGGCUCUGAGCUGUCAGCCCAGAACCUGACACGGGGCUCGAACUCCCCAACCGCUAGAUUGUGACCUGAGCCGAAGUGGUACACUUAACUUGGGCCACCCAGGUGCCUCUCCAUUUUUUUCAACUCUCAAAUGGGAGUUUAGAAAACUUGCCUGUACCUGCCAAUGAGUUGGUGAGUAUGAAUUUUAGUUAAUAUAGGACAGAAAAUCACAGCCAGUAGAAAAAGGUAUAUUGCUGUCAGAAACAUAGAUUGUGGAGUUCCAGGGACUCUUAGUUUGGAAGUGUUUUCCUCUUUGUUGAGAGUUGUCGAGUAUGCUUAAGGCCUUCUCUAUAGACGGUUGCUUCACCAAAUUUCCAAGACGGAAGUGGUGGCCUUGGAAGUAAUAAAUAAUUGCUUUACUCUCCCUACUGAGUGGGGGGUGCUCAGUAACUAAGAGUAGGUUGAGAUUGGCUGAGGUUCUCCCAGGCAAUCCUUUGGUUUGACUAUGGAACUUGGUACAUGUGAGAAUCCUUCAUUUAGAGCCAAGGAUGUGGUAGUUCUCUUUGGUGUGAUUGGGCUGCCUUUAUUAUUUCUUUGAUCUGUUUUUUGAAUCUGCUUAAGUGAUUGAUUUGAAUAGUCUUAUUCCAAAGGAAAAAAAAAAAAGACUGAUUCAUGUUUAUAAAAAGUUUGUUUCUGCUUCAACUACUAGGGUUCUGGUGUUAGGGUUCAGUUGUGGUUCCUUGAUCCUGCUGCAAGGAGUGAAGGAGGUUGGAGUUUUUUGUGAACUUGAUUACUGACUGGGUCUGCUAGUAUUACUAUCUUAUAUCCUUUAUUAGUAUUUUUUAAAAAUGCUACAUGGGGCACCUGGGUGGCUCAGUUGGUUAAGCUUCUGACUAAAGCUCACGUCAUGAUCUCAUGGUUUGUGAGUUUGAACCCUGCAUCGGGCUUUGUGCUGACAGCUCAGAGCCUAGAGAGCCUGCUUCGGAUUCUGUGUCUCCGUCUCUCUUUGCCCCUUCCGUGUUCACGCGCUCUCAAAAAUAAACAUUCAAGUUUCAUUUCAUUUGUUUUUGUGAGAGAGGUCGGAGAGGGGCAGAAAGAGGGAGACAGAGGGGAUCCGAUGGGGGGCUGGAGCUUAUGAACCGCGAGAUCAGGACCUGAGUCGAAGUUGGAAGCUUAAACCGACAGAGCCACCCAGGUUUUCUAUCCCUUGAAGGGCUUUAGCGAUUGGCAUUGCUCUUAAAGGAAAUAGGGUCCCAGGUGUCUCAGAUGUCUGGUUAGUAGGUAGAUCCAAUUUGGAGGCUUUCCCAGGACAAUGGAUGAAGAUGGAAAUAGAAUGUUGGUUCUGAACAUCUUGUUCUUUUUUUCAGCUUAUUUUGAGAGAAAGUAUGUGGGGGUAGGGUCAAGGGCAGAGAGAGGAGAGAGAACUCCAAGCAGGCUCUGCAGUGUCCCGUGGGGCUCAGAGAGCCACAAACUGAGAUCAUGACCUGAGCUGAAAUCAAGGGUCUGGUGCUAAACCGACUGAGCCACCCAGCUGCCCCCUGAGCAGCUUGUUCUGAUUGCAAGUGCAUUGGUGAGAAGAUGAGACCGGGGUUUUGGAAUUUGGACCUUCUGUUCUUUGCUGCAUUCCCUUGUAAAAGUAUGGCCAGCAAUAGCUAGUCAUGUUUCUCUGGUGAGGAUUUUAGGCUAGUCCUUUUUUUUUCUCCUAAAGAAUACAUACUGAAGUAUUGAAAACAAUCUGCUGUCUGGAAGCAUUAGGUGUCUGGCAGUUUUUGGAUUGAGAUUGGGGCAGGCUAACUAGGAAGGAAGGGAGAAGGGUAGGUGGUGAGUGCGGAAAGGUGUGCUGCAGAUCUGUUUGCUGCCUUUUGAUUUAGUUCUGUGUUAGUCUUCUGAGGUAUUUUUUGCCAUCAUAUGCUGCAUCUGUCCAGGUUUGAGUACCUUUGGUAUGGGGUGAAGUCAUUGAUGGGUAGGUAGACCGGGAAUUAAGGUCUAGGGUGCAACCCUAUGAGACAACACAUUACAUCUUUAUGCAUGUUUCUUCCCAGCCCACUCCAUUCUGUUGUUUGUUGAUCAUCCAUCAUGGGUUUUGUCACCAGAUCUCACUUCCACACUAGUCUGCAAGGGAGGCUAGACUCCAGUGUGAGCUGUGGGGUCUUAUCUGCAACCAUUCCUGCCCCAGUUUUCCAGAACUCAAAUUGUUUCCUACCUUGGAGCCCUCAGUACUUAGCCUUUUUCCUUUCAUCUUUAUUAUUAAAAUUUUUUUUUAAUGUUUAUUUUGAGAGAGGGGAAGAGAGAAUCUGCUGUCUGUGCAGAGCCAGAUGCAGGGCUCCAUCUCACGAAUGUGGAGAUCAUGACAACUGAAAUCAUGAGUCAGACGUUUAACUGAGCCAGCCAGGUGCCCCCGCUCGUCUUUAGUUUUUAUUUUGAAAUACUUAAAAUUUAAAAAAAAUGUUUAUCUAUUUUUGAGAGGGGGGGGAGGGGCAGAGAGAGGGAGACACAGAAUCUGAAGCAGGCUCCAGGCUCCAAGCUGUCAGCACAGAGCCUGACGUGAGGCUUGAACUCAAACUGUGAGAUCAUGACCUGAACCGAAGUUGGAUGCUUAACCAACUGAACCACCCAGGCGCCCCUUAUCUUGAAAUACUUUUAGACUUAGAAUUACUUAUUAAGUUUAUUAAAAUCGUCUGUUUUACCUUUCCAUGAAAUAACAAUCUUUAUGGUACUGACACAUAAGAGCUGAAGAAGUAAUGUCAAGCGGAUCUUGCCAGCACAUUUGACUUUAGGGCUUGGCUUGUUGAAAUUAUUGGGCCCGUAAUCCCAUGGUGUUAGUAGUUAGAAAAGCUUGUGGAUGCUGUUCAAUCUAAAAUCCUGGUGUUGGGGCUCCUGGGUGGCUCAGUUGGUUGAGCAUCUGACUUCGGCUCAGAUUAUAAUUUUAUAGCUUGUAAAUUCGAGCCCCGCGUUGGGCUCUGUGCUGGCAGCUCGGAGCCUGGAGCCUGCUUUGGAUUCUGUGUCUCCCUCUCUUUCUCUGCCCCUAACCCACUUGCUUUCUGUCUCUCUCAAAAAUGAAUAAACAUUAAAAAAUAUAUUUUUUUAAAAUCCUGGUAUUGAGGCAGGAAUAAGUGAGGAAAAUAUUUGCCUCAUGAGCAGGAGUUUGGGUCUGGAAAUCAGGCACCUUGCUGAUGGAUAGUGCUCUCUCAGCUCUUUGGACAAUGGCUUUAGUCCUAAAUCUUGGGGCUGUAGUGCCAGAGAGAAGGGUUCCUUUAACAGAACAAUUGAGCCACUAGUGUGAGGAGUGCAGACAAGAGUGGAGUUGGGACUGCUGGAUUAAGAAUUUGGGAUUUCCUGUGCUGUAGUGGGAACCAAAUUAGAUGGCUAAGUAGAGAACCCCCCCCAAGGAGGGUGAGUGGGAUGGGCAUGGGAAGAAUAAACAUUGAGGGGAGCAGGAGCCAAGCCUUCCAGGUAGCGUCCUGCACACACACCUCAGGGUGGCAGUGUUACACCGUUGUACGCAUUCCCUGUAGCUUUUCAUCAGUGUCCUGCAGGCUCUGUAGGGAGUGGGGACUUGUCUGUUAGAUCUAGACUGACAGGGCUUUUAUAACUAUUUUUUUUCCAGAGUUUGAGAGAAAACUGGCCUACCCUGUUUACUGUCUCCGAGUGAAAAAGCACAUCCAGGGGGAGGCCUCUGCAAACCUCAGACUGAGAUGGUGGAGCCAGUUCCUCUACAGCAGUGUCUUAAGUUGAACCCAUUGAAUCAUUUGGGGAUUUUGUUUGCAUGUGGAUUCUGAUUGUGUAGGUCCAAGUGGGGCAUGGAUUCUCUGGCAAUGUUGAUGUUGCUGGUUCAACUGCACACUCAGAUCUAUACCCUAUAAAAACUUUUGCAGAGAUUCCUUUUAUGCUAGUUCACUGCACUUUCCACCUGUGAAGAGGAACUUGACAUUGUGUGUAAAACAUUCUACAUAAAUGGUGUUAGCUAGGAACUAAGCUAAAUGUCAUUCAUAGAAGGUUGAGUCCAGCUUACAGAAUUUUAUUACAAUUUUUAUUUUAUUUUGAAAAAUUUUAUGCUUUUUAGCUAUUUAGUUUUGAGAGCAUGAGUGAGCGAGGGGCAGAAGGAGAAUCCUAUGAGAGGGAGAGGGAGAAAGUGUGGAGCCAUAAGUGGGGUGUGAGAUCAUGACCGGAACCGAAGUUGGAUGCUUAACUGACUGAGCCACCCAGGCGCCCCUGUUCUUAUUUUAAAACAACUAUCCUGGGGAUGGAAUAACAGUCACGGUACUAGGUAGGGGUAUAUUCAGAUCUGCAAGGGUGUAAUACUGUGUUUCUUGUUUUCCUUUAAGCUUUUUUUUUUUUUUUUAAUGUUUUUAUUAUUUUUAUUUUUGAAAGUGCACGAGAUAGGGAGACCCAGAAUCAAGCUGGUUCCAGGCUCUGAGCUGUCAGAACAGAGCCCGACAUGGGGCUUGAACCCACCGACCAUGAGAUCAUGACCUGGGCUAAAGUCAGACCCUUAACCGAUUGAGCCACCCAGGUGCUCCUAAGAUCUUUUAAAUAAUCUACACCCAGUGUGGGGUUUGAACUUAAAAGUCCUGAGAUCGAGAUUCACGUGUUCUGCCAACUGAGCCAGCUAGGCGUCUCUGUUCUUUUUUCAGUCUUGGGAUGCUUGGAGAUUAAAGCAAAAGUUGAUUGUUUCCGGUGCUAUUUAUGUUAAGUCAUUGGGUAGCUUAGGAACAAAAACAUCCUUUUUUAAUUUUUAAAAAUGUUUUAUUUUUGGGAGAGCAUGAUCGAGGGAGGGGGGGAGAGGGAGACCCAGAAUCUGAAGCACAGAGCUGAAAUUGGAUGCUUAACCGACUGAGCCACUCCAGGAACCAAAACACUCCAGUGGAGAUAUUUGCUAAUGCUAAUUUGUACUAACUGUGGGCCAGUUACUGUUCCAUUCCUAUAUCCCUAUUUGAGAGAUGGGGAUGCUGAGGCACAAACCGGCCUAAAGUCUCAUAACUUGAUAUGAAGUGGAGCAGGGGUUUGAGUUUAUGUCCUUUGGCUGUAGAACUUGUGUCUUUGACUACUAUGUUGUACCGUGCUUAAAGACUUCAGGCAGGGGGUGCCUUGGGUGCCUCAGUUGGUUAGGUGGCAGAUUCUUGAUCUCGGCCUAGGUCAUGACCUCGUGGUUUACAAGUUCGAGCCCCAAACUGAGCUGUACCUGAGACCAUGGAGUCUGCUUGGGAUUCUGUCUCCCUCUCUGCCAUUCCCCACCUCAAAAGUAAGUAUUAAAAGCAUUAAAAAACAAGACUUAAGGCAGGAUUCAGUUCUCCCAUGCUUCUCCCUGGCACCCCAAGGGGAAAAAAAGCUCUGGAGAAAUUUUGACUUCAGGAGCAGUUUCUUAGAACCAUUUCUUUUGUCUCAGGCUUGCAGUUUUUUUUCUUUUUACUAUUUGAGUAGAGAGCAAGUGUGGGGGAGGGGAGGGAGAGAAUCCCAAGCAGACUCAAGUCCACACACAACCCCACACAGGGCUCAAACUCAAACCGUGAGGUUAUGACCUGAGCUGGAAACCAAAAGUUGGUCACUUAACUGAACCACCUAGGCACCCCUGUGCUAGUUUUUGUAACUUGUUUUUAAGGAUCUCUGUUGUGCAAGCAAAUGCUACCUAUGCUCCCAUCUGCUGAGACUCCUUAGGUUCAUGUGGAGUUUUAGAACAAACCCUCUAGAGAUAAGCUACCAUUUAUUACUUCCUGUAUGCAAGGCACUUGUUGGAAAGGUGUCUUUUUUAUGGGGGGGUAAGUCUAAUGGGAGGAUCUUCUGUAAGAACAAACUAACAUGGUUUGCUUUACCAUACUGACAUGGAAGAGCUACUGGAACGCAGACAAAGGCAUGCCUGUGGGCAUGCUAGGACAGGUAGAAGUUUCAAGGUGUUCUAGUUAAGGGACCAGCGUGUUCUGGGGAUUGGGGUGAGCAAAUAAGUAUUUUUGGGAUCAUGGGAUAUGUGAAAGGGAGAUAGAGAUUGGAUGGAGUCUUGAAGGGCCAGGCUGGAAGAGUUUAGGUGUCCUAAUGUUAGAAGUGAAGCCAUUGUCUCCAUGAUCAGUUUUAAUCAUUCCAGCCCUUGAAGGUAGACUAGAGGUAGAGAGCCUGUCGCAGGUGAGAUGUUAGGCAUAAGCCAGGUGGCAGCAGUGAGGUUGAGAAAGAAGGCGGUUGGAUGGAUGUAAGUUAGUCUUGGAUGUUAGUCUUUUUUUUUUUUUUUUUUU